AUAUGACAAUUGUCUUUGGCCGCCCACCCACCCACCAAACUCGGAUCUACUUCACCGUAUGUCUUCAACCUUCACCAAAUAGUUACCGAGUAUUUCACAAUUGUUUUCUAGCUGAUCUAAUGGUGAAAUUUGUUUUUGAAGAAGUCGGUUGGAAGUUUAUCAAAUGCUGGAGUUUAUUGAUUAAAAUUUAGAGAUUUUUUUUGUUCAUUGUAGGUAAGCAUCCAACAAGGUGUUGGAGCUCUUUAUGUCACGAUGUAUGACUCUUGUUUCGAUCACAUAGGAUUAUGAAGGUAGUCUACGCCACCGACGUUACGGAUGUGAAUCUUGAGACAUUAGUUCACAUGAGACAUGUGUGUCCAAGGGUUUGUGUUAUGCCUGUCUCACGUGAGAAUCCAAUGGCUUAAGAUUGACAUUAGUGAUGUUCGUGCUGUAGGCUUCCUUCAUAGUCCUUUUUGUUCGUAAUAAAGAGUCGUACAUCGUGAUAUAAAAAGCUCUACCAUCAUGUUGGGUAUGUUCUAAUUUUAGUGUUUCAGAACAAGGAUAUUCUCACGGUUGCUAUCCCAUGUUGAGUUUAGUUUUUUAUUUCAACAAAUCUUAUAAAAUCGAAGAAUGAGUAUUCCCAUUUAUCUUACAUAAUUUAUCAUUGUGCUG